CACACCGCCCGUCACGCCAUGGAAGCUGGGGGGACCUGAAGCCGGUGGGCUAACUCGCAAGAGGGGCAGCCGUCAAAGGUCAAUUCAGUGACUGGGGCG
rnacentral:rRNA from 1 species